rnacentral:rRNA from 1 species
CCUACGGGCGGCAGCAGUGAGGAAUAUUGGUCAAUGGACGGAAGUCUGAACCAGCCAUGCCGCGUGCAGGAAGACGGCUCUAUGAGUUGUAAACUGCUUUUGUACAAGGGUAAACCUGAAUACGUGUAUUCAGCUGAAAGUACUGUACGAAUAAGGAUCGGCUAACUCCGUGCCAGCAGCCGCGGUAAUACGGAGGAUCCAAGCGUUAUCCGGAUUUAUUGGGUUUAAAGGGUGCGCAGGCGGCCUGUUAAGUCAGCGGUAAAAGCCCGGGGCUCAACCCCGGCGAGCCGUUGAAACUGGCGGGCUGGAGUUGGAGAGAAGUACGCGGAAUGCGCGGUGUAGCGGUGAAAUGCUUAGAUAUCGCGCAGAACCCCGAUUGCGAAGGCAGCGUACCGGCUCCACACUGACGCUGAGGCACGAAAGCGAGGGUAUCGAACAGGAUUAGAUACCCGUGUAGUC